rnacentral:lncRNA from 1 species
AUGCUCUCGGAAAAUUCCGGUGUUUUACUUCUUAAGCUUGCACUUACAACACAGUCUCUGCACCUCCUUUAUUCCCUAAACAGUUAUAUUAAAUUCUCCUUUGACUUCUCUAGGCCUCUGAAGACACUGCCAAAGCAGUAUCAGCCACUUCCUCCAGAGCCGAAGACAAGCAGCCAGUUCUUCCACACGAGGAAAACGCUCAGCCAAGCUCAUACCUUUCCAAUAUCAGCAAAAAUCACAAGACAUCUAUCCGUUAAGGAAGUAAACGAACCACCUGGAAGAGAACAAGUUACAGAUUUGGGGAAGAAACCUGAAAUAUCUUUUCAAGCACAGCAGUAUAAACCAAAGCAUCAUCCUGAAGCCAGCCUUCAAUGUACGUGGAGCUCUAAAAGCAUUUGCACCUCAGGGUCCACAUUAAAUGUGGAGAACUCGUCAGUGAAGAGGUCACCAUCUCCUACACCGUACACAGCACGCAAAGACAAAUCAAAACAUUCACUUGUAAAAUGGGAAAUGCAAUCUCUCGCCCAACUCACUGAAAAGGUAAAAGAACACUUCCCUUCCCAAAGGUAAAGAAUGGUUUUAGGAAACAGGAUUAUCACUACAAGGCACACACAGCCCGUAAGAACUAAGUUAAAUGGUCUGAAAG